rnacentral:lncRNA from 1 species
ACGAAAACGCUCAUAUCUCCCUCUAUAUUACGUAGUUUGGUCAAACCUUCCACACGAAAAACUUUCACGUAGAUGAGACGCAACCGCCUAUAUAAAAAUUUUGAGACAUUUGCCUUCCGACGAUAGGGCUCCCCAUAGAGAAUAAUAACGGUAAAUAGGGUUGACCGCUACUAUCGGCACCGAGACUUUACCCGAUUUACGUGAUUUUUGAACCAUAGCCGUAUUUCACCAUUCUGAACACAUCUUAUUUCACGAGAUUUUUAAUAAUUUUGCUUUCUUUUUAGAGUUGGUUCACAAAAUUGUAUAACCUACUAAACAAGUUAUACAACAUUAGUAGACACGUUGUGAUUCCGAUGACUAAAAUUCACAAACCAAAAUUCGACCGUCAGAUAUGAUCAUUAUGACGAAAGAUGUCUAUGGUAAAAAAUUCAACUGGAUCCGACAACGUUAAGGACUCGAUCGAAACGGGUAACCCUAAUCCAUCCUCACUUAUCACACGAAAACGCUAAUAUCUCCCUCUAUAUUACGUGGUUUGGUCAAACAUUCCACACAAAAAACUCUCACGUAGAUGAGACGCAACUGCCCAUAUAAAAAUUUUGAGACAUUUACCUUCCGACGAUAGGGCUCCCCAUAGGGAAUAAUAACGGUAAAUAGUAGACACGUUGUGAUUCCGAUGACUAAAAUUUACAAACCAAAAUUCGACCGUCCGAUAUGAUCAUUAUGAUGAAAGAUGUCUAUGGUAAAAAAUUCAACUGGAUUCGACAACGUUAAGGUUCAGCUGGAGUCAACUCUAAUCGGAAAUAAGAAAACUGCAUUUUGAAGCCAUAAACGGACUCGGAUGGCCAAAAAGGCCCAUACAUCAUGGCCUUAGCCAUGAGUUUGACUCGUAGGGCCGUUACACUUCCAGAAAGGUAUCACAAUAGUCAAUCGGACACCAAAAACCAAAUCUGCAGCAUAGUGAAUAAUAAGGGUAAAUUGCAUUGACCGCAACUAUCGGCACCGAGACUUUACCGGAAUACCGUGAUUUUUCAACCGUGGACGUAUUUCACCAUUCUGGUCAUAUCUUAUUUCACGAUUUUUUUGCGUUUGAAGGUUCUACGUAUAGUUUUUUUUCUCAGAUGAGUUGUUGUCUAGAUCUGCAAAUAUAAGGCACUUUAGCCGACGAAAUUAAGGCACUUUAGCCGACGAAAUUAUAUUUUUCGUGGGCUAAACUUUUAAAAAUUUCGUCGGCUAAAGUUCACAGAGUAUAGCCGACGAAAAAAAUUAUUUAGACGGCGAAAUUUUAAUUUCGUCGGCUAAAAUUGACCAUAGCCGACGAAAAUUUUUAAUUAGCCGACGAAGGGAAAUUUUAGCCGACGAAAAAAUAAUUUGUCGGCCUGGUUUUUUUAUUUUCGUCGGCUAAAGUCUUUCUUCUGGUAGUGUCUGCUCUAGAGUACGAGUACCCGUAGGUAUGCACACUCUUUCCUGAGCAAUAGAAAUAGCUAACCCAAAUAAAAACGCAUAAAUUUGCUAUCACCAUCGGGCUCAAAUCUCCUAACGUCAUGCAACAACCUCAUCAUUACGCUGCUCACAGCUCGACAAUGAAGCCCACUUGCUAGGAAACUAAAGUUCACACAUUCCCACAUGCUCAUAGGGGUCAAAAUUAAGACCCGCUAAUUAAACAGAUUUUUAAGGAUGCACCCACUGCAGAACUGCAACAAUCACUUCUAAUGCCGACACAUUUCGUAGGGUCUUUCGCAGAGUCAAAGCUCUCGCAAGUCCACAAGACAACCUUGCUCUGCCUAAGAGACCAGUCCACCAACAUAUGAUAAUCUCGAUUCUCGAAAUAACAUUAUGAAAAGAUCAAUACCACGUCACUUAGGUCUCUUCACCAAAACUAUUACAUUAUCUUUUUGAACACCACAAACUAGCAGCUUAUGAGAAUUUCAACUCUCUCUUGAUUUUGCUAUCUCCACUAUUCUCUUUACCACAAACCAGAAGAUAAUUUGAAACAUGACUAUCAUGUGGAAACUGGAUAUUCCUCCUUGCUCGCUAUAAGCAAAAACCAACUAAUUAUGGCCAUGAAAAAUUGGCACACAUCCAAUUCAUGAUGCUCAACUUGACGUUGAAAUCCACAUAAAUAGAACACCUUCCUUAAGCAUUGACAAAAAAAUUUACAUCUUCAGCCAUGCUACUUAUUCGGUUACAACCGUGACCCCAAAUUCAAUAAUUAAAAGCACACGGCUCACUCUAGCCAUUCCAUAAGAAUGAUUCAUCCUGACACCAAUGGAUGAACGCACAACCAAAAAGCGAAGACCUCCCAAAUCAAACUUGGAUCAAUGAGUGGUCCCACCACAAAACGAUCCCGAGAAGAGACGUUGAUCAACCUAUCAAUAAAUAUACUAUUCACCGUAAUAAGUAUCUUAAUAAACCUUGACUCGAAAAGCUUCUUGAGUCAACAGGGGAAAAACCUUCUCUCAUAAAGCUACAUCAUUAAAUAUACCUACAACGACACAAACCAUCUAAUCAACAUCACCACACGACUCUUAGACUACCACAUAGGACUUUUGGCUCCAAGAUUCAUCGCUUAAUUAAACUCCAGCUCACUUGGGAUCACGACUGGAUUUAUCCAGGAUCCAUGCCUACGACACAACAACCAAUUUAUCAUUUACCUCGAAACUUUGACAAAAUAACCAGAAUCUCUAACCUUCAAAUUGAAGAAUUUGAAUUCGCACUCCAAAAUUUCAAGCUCUGAGGACGCUACCCAAAACUACAGCAGAAAUAAUUUAUACAUUUCCAACACACCACAACUAAAACUCUAAUCCACUUCACCAAAUUAAAAAUAAGGUGAGAACAGAUCCUCCCAUUGUUGUGUCGUAGUUAGUCACCCAUUGCGAACAAAAUGAUGACAAAAACCAACUUCGAUCACAACUUUGAGACUUACAUCAACCACCCAGAACGACACUGCUUAAAAAAAAUUACUUUGGACACCCACGCACUCUUGCUCUAGGAUCCAGUGGGUUUUAUUCCACUGCUACCACUUCCACCAACUCCACACAACUGCUAAAGAACACCAAUGACAACACAUAUUAAAUUCACCAGGUGUUGUCGUAAAACCGAAGUAACCACAACAAUCCCGCUCUCACUCCACCAUUACUUUUCAAUUCCAUUACAUUAUCAUCUUCCCAAACACUCAACAAAUCUGGAAACCAAACUUCAACACCUAGAGUUCUGAAAGAAUCUACAAUGGCCCCACGAUUAAAUUAAUAAAAUCAACAUCUCACUUCACGAUUCCAAACUUGCUUAAAACUCAAACCAUUUAGUGCCACCAUUCAAUUUCUAAAAUCUCCCGACUGUGGCACGACAACAAGUUGUCACAACACACUGACCAAUGACUUUUGAAAAACCAACCUAAGGAAAAGCAAUUCAAGUCAUUACACAUAGUGCUUAAACAAACUUCAACUAACCCACAAUAGCGACCAAAAUCAUCAGAAAUCUUACUAUACAUCGAUUAUUAUUAUCCGUCAUUUCCAAAAGAUAUUACCACCACCAUCUUAAUAAAUUGCUCAAAAGAUAAAAACUUAUCCAUAAUUAGAGUUGUAAGAACCAGAAUAUGUGCUGACAUAAUCAGCAUUAUUCCAAAAUGUUCUCAACUGCUUUCUACUGCGGAAAAACAUAGUCGGCAAAAUGGCCUUCAAUCAUGACUUAUCUAAAUUGACAUUUAGCUCUUUAUGCAGCAAUGCCUUACCACCCAAUCAUUAGCCACAAAUUCCCUAAAACCUUAUUUAACCCAAGACUAGGGUCCUUAACAACUCAUAUAGGUACCCCUUUGAAUUACCAUUGGAUACCUCACCUCAUCAUUUCAACUAACUUUUACAUCAAUAGAAUACACCACUACUUCGAACUUUCCUUCCAACUCGACUCUCUCAAAAGUCACGUAACUCAAUACCAAAAUCUCCCAUCAAUCAAUUUUUGAUUCCAAUCUUGCCCACUAAAAAUGGACAACUCCUAGGCAUUAAUCAUCAACAUUUCACCCAACAGAUUUGCACAAGAUGCUCACUUUAGCAUAUUAAUCUGAAACCUUAAUCUUAACCCAAUCAAUCAUUCGAUACCUGAAAGGAAUGCUAACAAGCUUUUUCGUUCCCCACUCGCAAAUAAACUCCAACCAUUAAUAUCAAAGAUAUUAAAUUAAGGACUAAUUUCAGUUUACCCCCAUCAACUUUAAGUCGAUCAUCAUGUUAGUCCUUCUUCUUUCAAUUUCAUCAAAAACACCCCUCAACUCCCAAUUUUCAUCAGCUGCGCAUGUCCAAACCUCUAAUCUCCAUUCAAUUCCUCUGUCAAGUGAUGACUUGAUAUCAAGAAGAAAAUCAAAUUAUAAAAGUUACCUUUCGGACCAUUUUUCCCCCAUAUCGAUACACAUCUUUGUUCCAAUCACAACCCCCUAACCUUAGUGAUUUUGGUGGGAUUGAAUGCAAUUUGUCUAUUUUUCCUUUUUUCUUUCUUCUUGAUAUCAAGUCAUCACUUGACAGAGGAAUUAGUUGGAGAUUGGAGGUUUGGACAUGCGCGGCUGAUGAAAAUUGGGAGUUGAGGGGUGUUUUUGAUGAAAUUGAAAGAAGAAGGACUAACAUGAUGAUCGACCUAAAGUUGAUGGGGGUAAACUGAAAUUAAUCCUUAAAUUAAUGAACCUUGGAAUAGGUGCAAACUAUACACCUUUUCAAAACUCGAAUGAUGAACACUCAAGAGGUCGGCGUACGGAUUCAUAGUCUUGAAGAUAUAGACAUUUAUGGAUAAUACUGUCCAUAGAUAAGACAAGAAUUACUAUAUCACAAACCUAAGCAACACAUAGUGUCUAAAGCAUAUAAUGCUAAUAGAUCCACCGCGGUCGGACCAUCACUCUAUAGACAUUAAGUAUGACCAAGAAUAUGAGGUAGUACUAAAAGAGAAAGGAAUCGAAUAACCUAGUGCUCUGAUACCAACUAUCAGGACCCACCCCGAAUUUCACCCUGAAACCCGAAGUAAAUCCUGCGGGGACCAUCUCCAACGAAAAUUUACCGAAAAUUCGGCAUAACCUCCCUUGAAAAUGGACAACCCUUCCUAAAAAAAAACCUGCAAACACUUCUGAAAUUUUAAAUCCAACCAUAAACUCCUGGAGCCUUCGUGCUCCCCAAAUCACAACACCACCCAAAUUAAAUACUAACUUUAAACAAAUCUCAUAACCAACCAUUUAUAGGUUCAGAGCAAUUCUAACUGAGAGGAAAAUAAUUAGAAAUUUAGAAAUGAGCGGAAGCUAUACUAUUGACUAUGCCUCUUCUCCAUGUACGCCCGAUCUCAACUAGGCCAACCUGCCAACUAGGCAUUUUAAAACGAAUGGCCCAAGGGAAAACAUUUGAAACACGUUAGAGUGAGUGGACAAAAAUAAAUUAAUAAAUAUUUAUGCAUUCCCAAUUUGAAUUUCAUAGAAAAUAUAUUGCAUGCGGCAGCUCAAAAGCUCUCAACUCAACGAUUGGCAAUUUCGUGACUGGCUCCGGCUAGUCUCCAAACUUAACAAAGAUAAAGCCUCUCAGGCUAAAUUAUAUAUAAAAAUAUAUAUAUAUAUAUAUAUGUGUGUAUGUAUUUAUACUUGUCAUACUCAUUGUAUGAAUUCUAUGAAGGAAUAAGCAAAAUAGAAAUUCAUACAAAACUACUACGCUUACGUCUAACGCUCACGUCAGACCAUAAUGAAAUUUUUCCUCAUUAUGGCGGAAAAGCACGAGUGUAUAUACGUGUGGACCCCUCUAUGAAAACCUAUAUGAACCAGAAAAGAAAAUAGUUUUCAUAUAGGACUACUACGCUUGUGUCUAACACACAUGUCACGCCAUAAUGGUAUUUUACCUCAUUAUGAUGGAUCAAACACGUAUGGCUAGCUAGCAUUUAUAUACACAUACUAUCCUCAUAAACAUUCAAUAAACAUAUCCACCAAAAAUCUCAUUUCCGGGAACUCUCCAAAAGAGAAAAAUUGUCAAAUAUCCAAGAAAUAAAUAAAUCUUAGCAAAAGAAAUAAAUGAUCAACAAAAUAAUUCAUCGCAUGCUUUUCAAUUAAAACAAAGGUCCACUCACAACUUUAGGCCUCAGCCUGACGCCGAUCCGACUUCUGCUUGAUCCUCCUCACGUCCUGUUUCCAAAUGUAAGCCUGACGUCGAUCCGAGGUCUCUUCUGCUUGAGCCUCCUCACGUCCUGUUUCCAAAUGUAUAAUUAAUUUCCCAUUUUAAAAAAAUUCAAUAGUUAAACAAAAUGGGCAAAAUUAAACGUGAGCCUCCCACACACUCAUCAUUGCCCAACUUCGCCAUUCUUAACUCAAUAUGGCUCAAACUUCACCGAACAUACCGGCAACCUUAAUUCAACCUUCUACGGAUUAAUGACUUAAAUCCUACAGCUGAAUUCUACAUUAAUUAACCGACAAAAAAAAACCAAACUUCGGAAAUUCACAAACCUAUCCAAAACUCAUCCAAAAAUUCCAUAAUUCAUAUCAAUAAACUCCCCUUAAUAUUCCAUAUUUAAAACCAUACAAAACUCCCAGACAGCGGCGGCCGGAGGCCGAUUCCGGCGACCUCCAAUUCCUACCAAAUUUUAACAGUAGCUUCCUCUCCACUCCCUCUACAACUUUCCUAACUAGCACAAACCCAAAAUUCAAGCCUAGCUAUGCCAAUCGAACAGAAACACCAAAAACGUCCUAGAACUUCCACCUCAAAUUUCUCCUUACCUGAAGCGAACCGGAGUGACUCCUUUUAGGGCAAGGCAGCAAAAUUGUACCGGAGGAGGAAGUUCCGGCGAAGGAGAGCUUUGGAUAGCCGGAGGUUCCAGGCGUCGAUUCUCUCUCACGGUGGCGCUAGGGGGGCUGUCACCGGCCUAGAAUGGAAGCUAGGUUGGAGGCCGACCGAACGGGACCGGUGCGGCAGUCUCAGGCGGCCGGACAACGGCGGACGAGCGGCCGGAAGGUUUGGCAGCGGGAGGACUCGGGGAGAGAGAGGACCGGGAAGAAAAAGAGGGAAGAGAGAUAUGGGUUUGGGCCUCUAACCCCAAACCGGCCAACACUAAAUAUAUCAAAACCCAACUCCAAAAUUUACACCCCAAAAUAAUACCCUGAUAAAAAUUACUUUUUACUAGCUAAAAUUUACCAUUUUUACCGUCGUCACAUUUUUGUCCUACGAAUAAUUCUCCGCAAAUAACCGUCCCUCAAACCCUUCUUAGAGACCAAUUAAAUUAUAACCUCAAUGACGGAGACGGUAAAAUUUUUAUUAUAACCAAGCUAGUAAAUAAGGUAAAAAUUUAAGGGUCGGGAUGUGACAAUGGCAGCAAAGUCCAAAGGCCUUACUUCUCCUGUUUUUUAUUCUUCAAUACCUUCUUUCCUUCAGUCUGCGCUUGCAGCUGAAAUAGUCCAAGUGUAGUCACUUCCAGUAUUCAAUAAAAUCUGACCUUUUGAUCAAAAAAAAAAUUACCGUAAAAUCAAUAAAAAAAAAAAUAAAGUAAUUUCAAAAUAUAAAAAAGAAAAAAAUUAGUGGAACAGUUUUUGCCGAGUGCCGAGUGCAUUGACAGUUCUUUAUAAUCAAAAUCUGGACAAAAGUAAAACUUCAUUUUUUUUUUAUAAACAAAAGGAUAAAAACAAAUGAAAAAUUUUAAAUACACACCCCUAAUCUCUUAAUACACACCCAUUGCUUAAUACACCCAUCAUCUAGUUUUUCAUUUCGAUAUUAAACUUAAUACACAUCCCAAACUGCCUAUAAUACUCUUAUAUCUAAAACUAAGAAAUAAUAUGUUAUUUAGUAUAAUUAUUAUAAAUUUACUAUAUAUUUUGGUAACUCUUUUACAUAUUUUUUUUAUAUUUUCUGCUAGAAUUAUAAAUUUUUUCUUUUCAUCGUCAAAUUUAUAAUUAAAAGACUAUUAUUACACAAACUCAAAUCUCCGAUUAUGACAUCAAUCAUUUGGAAUUCGAAAAAAUAUCAACCAUUUCAAGUUUUUGAAAUUCACAAGCUAGUAAAAGUACAUUAGGUGUUUAAUUGACAACUUUGAGGUCACGGGUUCAAACCUCAUUGACAUAUGUAGGGUGUGUGAGUUAUUAAUAAUUUUUUUUUUUUAAAAAGUACAUUAGGUCACUAGCUAUUAAACAUAUAUACCUACUUUUUUCAAUACCGCAUGUCAAGACGAACAUGUAGUACUUCAAAAUGGUCUGCAAGAUCAUAACUAAAACUGAUACAAAAAAGAAAAAAGAAAAAAAGAGACAAAACCCAAAUGAACCGAUGUUAAUUAAACAAUACAUGUGAUUAUAAGGAAGCAGUCGAAAUUCGGGUCAUGAAUUCUAAAAGUAUUUUUUUUUUUUGGGUAUGAAACUGUAAAUUGUGGAGAAGAGUCAAGUUUAGGGAAGAAGUAAUCGUUUAGAUGGUUUUAGGGUAGGAGAUUAGAUUUAUAAUUGUGAUUUCUUUUUCUUUUUUAAUAAUACAUGCCUAAAAUAUUUGAUGUGAAACAUAAAUUAAUAUGAGUGUAUAUUAAGAGAUUAGGGGUGUGUAUUUACACUACCAGGACAAUCACUUUAGCCGACGAAAAAUUUUUGUCGGCCUGUUAGCUUAAUUCAUCGGCUAAGAUCUUAGCCGACGAGCCAUCGUCGGCUAAGAUUUCGUCGGGAAAAGGUCGUCUGUGAUGACUUUCGCCGACGAAAAAAAAAAUUUCGUCGGCUAUAGUCCCGCAGUUUAGCCGACGAAAAACAUGUCGUCGGUUCUUUUCCCAGACUUUAUCCGACGAAACAAUUAAGAUAUUCGUCUGCUAAAGUCUGUAAUAAAAAAAAAUUUCCCAGACUAUAACCGACGAAAUAUAGUAUGUUUCGUCGGCUAAACCUUAUAAAAAUAAUUUAAAAAAUAACUCUAGCCGACAAAAUAUAGUCUGUUUCAUCGGCUAAACCUUAUAAAAAAUUUUAAAAAAUAACUAUAGCCGACGAAAUAUAGUCUGUUUCGUCGGCUAAACCUUAUAAAAAAAAUUUAAAAAAUAACUAUACCCGACGAAAUAUGCCAUAAUUCGUCGGCUAAACCUUAUAAAAAAAUUUAAAAAUACUAUAGCCGACGAAUAAACCUUUAAAUAUCGUCGGCUAAACCUUUAAAUAUCGUCGGCUAAAGUUGCUGGUUUUUGAAAAAAAAAACUGCAGAAACUUUCGGCCACCUCCAAUCACCACCAAAAUUUGACAGAAUCUUCCUCUCAACAUUUCGAACAACUUUCUAGAAGAAGUCGAAGCCCAAUUCUAAGCCUAAACAGGUCAAUUGAAUCAAAAUAUAAAAAUCCCCAAUUUUAAACCCUAAAAACUUCAAAUCUUCGAUUCUCCUCACACACACCGAAUCGAGCUACCAAAUUCUAGGAGAAUGUAGUACUAAUCAAAGUCAACUUAUCCAUAUAUAGAACUCACCAAAUGGUGACCUGAGGAAGGAGAAAUUCGAUCGACACCGAAUCCGAACCGACGGAGUUUUGGAGCUCGAUUUAUCUCUCACGGCGGCGCCACUCGAUGUACCACCUGUCCAGCAAUGAAGUAGAGACGACGGCGAUAGUUUUGGGACAAGUGUGGCGGUCUCCGGUGGCUUCACGGCGGAGCUAGGCCGAGAAGAAAAUCUGGCAGGCGAAAUAGAUUUCUUACCAUCCACCUUCGGUAAUAUAUAGAACUUUAGCCGACGAAAUUCUUUAUUUUCGUCGGCUAAACUCUUUUGAAAAUUUUGAAAAUUUUAGUUGACCGCCAAAAAAUUUUGGUUGAAAAUUUUGAAAAUUUUUCGACUUUAGCCGACGACUUUUCAUAUAUUUUCGUCGGCUAAAGUCCUUUGAAAAUUUUCCUCCAAAUUUGGUUUACCGCCCAAAAAUUUUUGUCCUUCGCCGACGACUUUUUUAAUAUCUCGUCGGCUAAAAUCUAUAAACUCACGAAAACGCUUAUAUCUCCCUCUAUAUUACGUAGUUUGGUCAAACCUUCCACACGAAAAACUUUCACGUAGAUGAGACGCAACCGCCUAUAUAAAAAUUUUGAGACAUUUACCUUCCGACGAUAGGGCUUCCCAUAGUGAAUAAUAACGGUAAAUAGGGUUGACCACUACUAUCGGCACCGAGACUUUACCCGAUUUACGUGAUUUUUGAACCAUAGCCGUAUUUCACCAUUCUGAACACAUCUUAUUUCAGGAGAUUUUUGAUAAUUUUGCUUCCUAUGUAGAGUUGGUUCACAAAAUUGUAUAACCUACUAAACAAGUUAUACAACAUUAGUAGACACGUUGUGAUUCCGAUGACUAAAAUUCACAAACCAAAAUUCGACCGUCCGAUAUGAUCAUUAUGACGAAAGAUGUCUAUGGUAAAAAAUUCAACUGGAUCCGACAACGUUAAGGACUCGAUCGAAACGGUUAACCCUAAUCCAUCGUCACUUAUCACACGAAAACGCUCAUAUCUCCCUCUAUAUUACGUGGUUUGGACAAACCUUCCACACAAAAAACUCUCACGUAGAUGAGACACAACUGCCCAUAUACAAAUUUUGAGACAUUUACCUUCCGACGAUAGGGCUCCCCAUAGGGAAUAAUAACGGUAAAUAGUAGACACGUUGUGAUUCCGAUGACUAAAAUUUACAAACCAAAAUUCGACCGUCCGAUAUGAUCAUUAUGAAGAAAGAUGUCUAUGGUAAAAAAUUCAACUGGAUCCGACAAGGUUAAGGACUCGAUCGAAACGGUUAACCCUAAUCCAUCGUCACUUAUCACACGAAAACGCUCAUAUCUCCCUCUAUAUUACGUGGUUUGGACAAACCUUCCACACAAAAAACUCUCACGUAGAUGAGACACAACUGCCCAUAUACAAAUUUUGAGACAUUUACCUUCCGACGAUAGGGCUCCCCAUAGGGAAUAAUAACGGUAAAUAGUAGACACGUUGUGAUUCCGAUGACUAAAAUUUACAAACCAAAAUUCGACCGUCCGAUAUGAUCAUUAUGAAGAAAGAUGUCUAUGGUAAAAAAUUCAACUAGAUUCGACAACGUUAAGGGCUCGAUCGAAACAGUCAACUCUAAUCGGAAAUAAGAAAACUGCAUUUUGAAGCCCUAAACGGACUCGGAUGGCCAAAAAGGCCCAUACAUCAUAGCAUUAGCAAUGAGUUUGACUCGUAGGGCCGUUACGCUUCCGGAAAGGUAUCACAAUAGUCAAUCGGACACCAAAAACCAAAUCUGUAACAUAGUGAAUAAUAAGGGUAAAUUGCAUUGACCGCAACUAUCGGCACCGAGACUUUACCGGAAUACCGUGAUUUUUCAACCGUGGACGUAUUUCACCAUUCUGGUCAUAUCUUAUUUCACAACUAUUUUGCGUUUGAAGGUUCUACGUACAGUUUUUUUUUUCCCAGAUGAGUUGUUGUCUAGAUCUGCAAAUAUAAAGCACUUUAGCCGACGAAAUUAUAUUUUUCGUCGGCUAAACUUUUAAAAAUUUCGUCAGCUAAAGUUCACAGACUAUAGCCGACGAAAAAAAUUAUUCAGACGACGAAAUUUUAAUUUCGUCGGCUAAAGUUGACCAUAGCCGACGAAAAUUUUUAAUUAGCUGAAGAAGGGAAAUUUCGUCGGCUAAAGUCCACUUUAGCCGACCAAAAAAUAAUUCGUCGGCCUGGUUUUUUUAUUUUCAUCGGCUAAAGUCUUUCUUCUGGUAGUGUUAAAAUUACUCAAAACAAAUUGACACAAACGUUAGCGUGUCUUAUGAGGCUAGUAUUUUAUAACCAUUCCCAAUAUGAUAGUGUUAAAACUGCAAAACCACGUACUCUAGGAUUUCAAAAAAAUUAUUCUAUCUUUGUCCUACUAGGGGACGUUGUUGUUGGACGGGAUUCUAGGGCGGGCAAAUGGUAGCUAAGCCCUACAGCAGGUUGGCGGUGGAAUGAGAGAGAGAGAGAGGUUGUUCAUCGGUGCAGACUGAGAUGCUGUGGGAAGAUUUGUAUUGCAAAUUUGCAAUGCGGUGUUAUUCCGGUGGGGGGGAGGAUGUUGGCGCCGGGUAAGAGCGAUCAUUCUGACCUAUUCAAAAGGGCGAUGACAUGGAGCGGUAAAGUGAUGAGAUGGAGAAAGCGAGGCGGCGACUUGGCUAGUUUGUGGUUUUGAUUCGAGUCUCUUUGCUCCGAUUUGUUUGUUGUUGUUGAAGGGUGGUGUACUGUCUCUAUAAUUUGAGAUGGGUCAAGGAUGGUGGUUCUUCCUUGGUGGUGACCGACGUUGGCGAUAGACGUUGGCGGUGGACGACGUAUCUGCAUUCAGGUUUUUCAACCUCUUGGGCCGGAUCUAGGGUGGCCUUUUCCUUGAGCUCCAAAAGGCUUUGGCUGGGCCUGGGUUCCCCUUGGGCCUAAGUUUUGUUGGGUCUAUUUUGUUUUAGUUUUUCACUUUUUACGUCGGUUAGUUCUUGUUGAUCAAUGUAAUGGGGAAGUUAUUUGUACAUAUAUGCUGGUAAUUUUGGUAUAUAUAUAGUGUUUGAAAUGGUUGAUUCUUCUUGAGGGUAACUAUAAGGAUGUUAUCGAGACUUCUGGAUUAAAUUAAAUUACAGUUGAACCUUUUCGGUUCUUAUCCACUGUAAUUCAUUACCAGGACCAAUGUUCUAAAAGGCGCUAGGCGCUAGGCGGGCGGUAACCCACAGCCUAGAGCCUGGACAGCCUAGGCGAGGAUUAGGCGGGGACUAGGCGAUUUGUAUUUUUUAAGAUUUAUUAAUUAAAAAUAUAUAUUUUAUGCAAUUUAAUAUUUGAAAACGGUCAAAUAUAGAUAAAUUAUUCAACAUAAUCUAGUCAUACUCAUUUAUAAAAUAAAUUAUAACUAAAAUUUAGCAUAACUUCCUGUAAAAAUGAGCAACAACAGCAAUAAACAUAUACACUUCUAAUUUUAAACACACAAUUAACUCUUAUACUCUCAUACUCCCCACAAUAUAACAAUCCCACACAAAAAGAAAACAAAAAUAGCCGUAGAGCUUAGCAGCCUAGGCGGGCAAGGCGGCAUCUAGGCGGGCUAGGCGGCAUUUAGGCGAGCUAGGCGGCCGCCUAAUCGCCCACAGCCUGGCACAAAGGCCUGGAAGAAAAGCGAGACGGCUUGUUACAGCCUAGAGCCUAGGCGGGGACUAGGCGGUCCUAGGCGGGGCCUUUUAGAAGCUUGACCAGGACAAGCACUUUAGCCGACGAAAAAUUUUCGUCGGCCCGUUAUCCUAAUUCGUCGGCUAAAGUCUUAGCCGACGAGCCUUCGUCGGCUAUAGUGUCGUCGGGAAAAGGUCGUCGGCGAUGGCUUUAGCCGACGAACCUUGAGACCGUCGUCGGCUAUUAUCCAAACUUUAGCCGACGAACUAUUUUGUCAUCGGCUUUUGUUCAUGCAUUUAAGCCGACGAAAAUACUUCGUCGGCUAUUGUUCCAGACUUUAGCUGACGACAUCCUAUUUCGUUGGCUAUACUCCCAGACUUAAGCCAACGUAACAAAAAUAUUCGUCGGCUUUACUCCCAGACUUUAACCGACAGAACAGAGAUAUUCGUCGGCUAAAGUAUGGUUUAGCCGACGAAACAUGCCAUAAUUCGCGGGCUAAACCCUAUGGAAAAAAAAUUAAGAAUGCUAUAGCCGACGAAUUGUGGCAUGUUUCGUCAGCUAUAACUCCAUUCCAGUAAAAAAAAUACGUGAAAUUUCUAAAUUAUCAUUCCAAGCAAGCUGCAAAAAACACUAAAACAAUUCUAUAUAUAUAACCAACAAGAAGCACAUAAAACUAUAUAAGGUACCAACUACACAAAAUCUAGAUAGUUUAAAUCAAUAUCCGAUUCUGGGGCCUGCUGGUGAGGAGAUUGCGGCGGCAGAGGUAACUGUAUAGGCGCAGGCAUGGGCGGAGGUGGAAGUCUCUGAAGCUGGGCAGCUGUAAAAUCCUGGAAGUACUGGAACAUCUGCUGAUGCUGGGCCUGCUGGGCGGCAUGUAGGGCUCUAGCAUAGGCUCUAUAUUCGAUGAUCUGGGCGGCAUGAGCGGCAACCUGAGCAGUCGAGGCUCUCAACUUCCGACUCUAGUUGAGUCGUCGUGCUGCUAGUCGAGGCUGCCUUUCGUUGAAAUCCUGGAGUGGUCUUCAGGACCCCCUGGCCCUUCUUUCCUAGACCCCGGCAGUAGAAGUUGUUUUCUCGCAGUGGGAAGGCUGUGCCCAUGAUACUCGCCCCAACCCUCGGAUCUGAAGUGUCGAUCCGGGAUAUGGCUUCGGACAUCUCUUCCUCCUGCGUGUCCGGCCAUGUCUCCCUCACUAUAGCACUCAUCACCUCGUCACUAGCCUCCUUCACCUUUGCCUAAUUGGAUAGAAAAAAAAUUAUUAAUUAACAUUUUGACAUAUAUAAGUAAAAUUAAAAAUUCCGUAAAAAGGAAAAAUUACUUACUAUAUCCUCCUGGGAGUCAGGAUAUGUCUUCUCGUACGUAUAGACGUACUGGUUGACCUCUGGAUGUUCCCUGGCCGCCUCGUCCAUGAAGACAGCGAACGGUCUAGAACCGGCAUGAUGGUUCCUUGUGUUGCGUUGCCGGUUGACACGACCCACCCCAAAUUUCACCCUGAAACCCAGAGUAAGUCGUGCGGGGACCACCUCCAAGGAAAAUUUACCGAAAAAUCGGCAUAACCUCCCUUGAAAAUGGACAACCCUUCCUAUUAACACCUGCAAACACUUCUGAAAAUUUAAAUCCAACCUUAAACUCCUGGAACCUUCGUGCUCCCCAUAUCACAACAUCUCCCAAUUUAAUUACCAAUUUAAACAAGAUAAUCUCAUAGCCAACAGCCACAGUUCAGAGCAACUCUAUUUGAAAGGAAAUAAACUAGAAAUAUAAAAAUGAGCGGAAGCUACACUAUUGACUAUGCCUCUUCUCCAAAUACGUCCGACCACAACUAUGCAAUCCUGCAAACUGGGCAUUUUUAAAACGAAGAGCCCAGGGGAAAACAUUUGAAAACGAAACGUUAGAGUGAGUGGACAAAAAUAAAUUUACGAAUAAAAUAUUUGUUUCCCCAAAACAAUUUCCAAAGAAANNNNN